AUGGCAGAGACAGCCCGGGGUCUGUCCACCGUCUUCCCGGAGACGCUACUCCGCAGGGAUCCAGACACCCGCAGGGGUCGUCUCCCGGGCAACCCGCCCCGGGGUUACCAUGGCGACCCGCACUUCCGGCCCGGCCCUCGCCCCCCGCGACGGGCCGGCUCGGGCGUCAGAGCCCUCGGCUGGGGUGAUCUGCGGGGCCCCGGGCGUUGGCGCCUCCCGACCUCACAGACACAGCGCGGGGGAGCCGUCAGGAGGUGCGGGCGGGCAGAGGCCGGCCGCAUCGGCGCUAUGACAACCGCCACUUCCGCACCCGGCCAAGGCCCACCCAGCGACCGCAUGCACAUUCGGGCCUCCAGUACAGGAAGGUAUUCACAGGAGUUUAGCGCGGGCGGAAACCCACAGACCUGCAAGAGGAAGCCCCACGGAGCUCGGCGUCUCGCCCCUCUCUUUCGUGUGUUGCCAGUGCCACUGUCCUGAAACAGCUGUGGCGUGGACCCUCGCGGCACAAUGUGAACUCCAUGAGAGCCAAGAUCCCAUCUGAUGCCUUCCCCAUUGUGUUGCCAGUGCCUGGGACAACAAUUUGCAAGUUUAAGGGAUUCGAUAAAUAUUUGUGGGAUGAUUAUGUAAGAACUUUUUGACAUUGUGCUAGAAUUUUCCAUUCGCUGCCAGUCUUUGUUCUGGCCUAGCUAACUACCUGUCCAAACACUGCCCAAAUAGAUAUGUGCAUCAGUGUAUAGAUAAAUGUGUUCAGGCCAAAGGGAAAGUGUGUGGAGCACGACUGCCCAGACAGACGGACGGAGGCCAGGGUGCCCUGCAAUGACCUUCCUCUCAGACGCUCCAUCCAGAAAGUCAGACGCGGAUGGGGAUGCGACAUCAAGAGUGUGCAGAGAGAUGUCUUUCAGAGCGCUGCAGGAGAAAGAAGAGACGUGUUGGAAAACACAACAUCACAUGUUUCAAUGCGCUACGGAUAUUCAGAUUGUCAGUGCCCAUACAUAUCUUUGCUAUUGUAAAUCUGUCACUUCUAGAUAAUUUGAUGGUUGAAUGUCAGCAAUGUUUUGUCUACCUCUAAAGUAAAAAUGUGCCUGCCUGCCAAGAUAAUGAAGAUGAUCCGUCUUCCCUACCUUUACCUUUUUUCUAUCCUAUUGGUGGAAAUAGGAAGGUUUCCAGAUCAAGGUUAAGCACUGAAUUUUUGAAAAAUUUUUAUUUGAGAGAGAAGGAAUUCUCAUCUGCUGAAUCACCCCCCAGAUGCCCACAAAGGCUGGGCCUGGCUGAAGCUGAGAGCUAGGAACUCAGUCCAGGUCUCCAAUGCAUGGCUGGAAUCUAAUUACUUAAGUCAAUGCUGCUGCCUCCUGGAAUUCACAUCAUCAGGAAGCUGCAGUCAAGAGUCAGACAUGGGGCAGCACCGUGGCUCACUUGGCUAAUCCUCUGCCUGCGGCGCCAGCACCCUGGGUUCUAGUCCCGGUUGGGGCACUGGGUACUAGUCUCAGUUGCUCCUCUUCCAGUCCAGCUCUCUGCUGUGUCCCAGGAGGGCAGCAGAGGAUGGCCCAAGUGCUUGGGUCCCUGCACCUGCAUGGGAGACUGGGAGGAAGCACCCAGCUCCUGGCUUCGGAUCCGUGCAGCGCCGGCUGUAGCAGCCAUUAGGGGAGUGAACCAACAGAAGGAAGGCCUUUCUAUCUGUCUCUCUCUCACUGUCUAUAACUCUACCUGUCAAAUAAAAAAAAAAAAAGUCAGACAUGGGAGCAAGCCCAGACACCAUGGAAUGUGCCCACACUACCCAUAAGUGUUGAAUUUUUCAAAAUUUUUAAAUGUACUUAUUUUUCAUUUUACUUUUAAAGGCAGACAGAUAGAUAGACAGAUCUUGGAGAACUUUUAUCUGAUGGUUCACUCACCAAAUGAUCACAGCAUGUGAGGAUGUGCCAGGCUGAAGCCAGGAGCCAGGAACCUAAUCACGGUUUCCCACUCAGGUGACAGGGACCCAACUAACUUGAGCCAUUACCUGCUGCCUCCCAGGAUCUGCGUUAGCAGGAAGGUGGAUCAGACAAAGUCAAGACUUGGACCAGGCAUCUUAACCACUAGGCCAAAUGCCUGCAUCUUCUACCCAUACCCACCACCACUAUCUAGGCUUAACUCAGAGGCAGCAUUCCUAUGGGACUUAUUCGACAUUCACUAGUUAGGGUAUCAUUGGUGGUCUAGUAUGAUACAAGGAAUGAUUCGGGAGUGAAGCUGGGACAUUUACCCUUGACCGCUCAUUUCCUGGGUUAGUAUUUAUCUGUGUUCAUUUGUAGCACUAGGAGAUUGCGGGCUCGGUCCCAUGAGUGUCUCUUGAAGCCAUGGCUCCAAUGGAAAUUUUUGAAGAGAAUCAGUGUAGAGAGAGAGUUUCACAUGGUCAGAUUGCUUCGUUAAUGAACUCUACCUGCAUCAGUUGCUAGGGCAACACAUGAAUUGAUUAAUUAAUUUAGGUUGGAGUUGUAUCAUCAUGCACAAAGGUAUCACGUUUCUACCAUGUCCCACUGCGGUGUCAGUUUUUUCUGGACAUAAUUAUGCCAUGAAGAUUAGCUGCCCAUCUGCUGUUCACCAGGAAAACUGCCAUCGCAAUUUAUAUCAGCAAGUAAAUAAACUGUUAGAGAGGUUGGUGAGAAACUUAUUAUAACUCUGAUCUUGCUUGUAUUGAGA